CGUGUAGGCGGUUGGUCAAGUCGGGUGUGAAAGCCUGGGGCUCAGCUCCAGAAGUGCAUCCGAUACUAGCCAGCUAGAGCGCGAUAGAGGAGGGUGGAAUUCCUGGUGUAGCGGUGAAAUGCGUAGAUAUCAGGAGGAACACCGGCGGCGAAGGCGGCCCUCUGGAUCGUUGCUGACGCUGAGACGCGAAAGCGUGGGGAGCAAACAGGAUUAGAUACCCUGGUAGUCCACGCCUUAAACGAUGGGUACUAGGUGUUCGGGGUGUUGACCCCCUGAGUGCCGCAGUUACGCAUAAGUCCCCGCCUGGGACUACGGCCGCAAGGCUAAA
rnacentral:rRNA from 1 species